rnacentral:misc_RNA from 1 species
GAAAAUUUGUUUCAAAAUGGCCGAUUGAGCUGCACGGAGACGGUGUAAACAAGACAAGUCCAACGCUAGCGCUCACUAAAUAACUCAUUUCUAGAUCUACAACAGGUUAACGAAGUUCAGGUGAACUGUUAAUGCCAUGGUAGGCUUAAAGAUUUGUUUUUAAGUUGGCGAUUGUGGUAAAAACGUAUCCAAGUAGGAGUGUGACUGAGGCGCAUAGCAUUAGCAGCCCUGCUAGAUUUCAAGCAGCCAUGAGCCAAGAUCAUGGCCCAGGCCCACGAGGUUCAUAAACAUGCACAUGUGAAGAAUAGACUGCAGGUACAUUAGUAUAGAUCUCUGAGUUCUAUCUGAGUAGCUGAGUCGACCUGCUGCCAUGUUUAAGAGUGAAUUUCAGGGUGGGGCAUAUGUAGAGGUCUUCAGUUGUCAAGGCAAGGAACCAUUAGCCAAAUGGAAACUGACUGGUGCAGCGUCCAUACACAAGGUCUACGAAAAAGAAGCCAAGAGUUUUGUGCAUGUUUUGGAGGGUGCGGGGACCAGCACUAAGAUACAGCUGCCUAAGGAUGUCAAGCAGACUUUGGCCUUGGUCCAGCGAUUUCUGGUGCUCCAAGUCUUCGUUCCCCUUGGCCAGGAUUUCUCCAUUGAACUUGGUGUGAGCGACAUGGGCAACAACAAGCGACGGUUGUUGUUCUCAACGGCUCAGAAGGAAAUCGCAGCCACACCACUGCAUGCCAAGAUCCCACUGACUGUCGUGAGGAGAGCCAUGUGGCUGAACCUAUGCAUUGACCUGGUCUCCAUGGUCAGUGAGGCGUUUCGAUUGCAGACCUACAAGUCCUUAGACAGCCUCAUCGUCUGCGCCAGCUGCCACCUGCGUAAGGUAUUCACCAUGAAGACCCAGCCACCGGACGAUACGGAUGAUGAUGAUCAGUACGACUGCAACCCACCCACCAACAACAUGGAGCUAGACAGCAUCCCCAGAUCUUGCCAGUUCAGCGCCGACGUGUCGUGUCAGACGCAGGUCCUCAACAUGAACAAACUCAGGCACGCCGAGUUCAAGCUCAAACCAGACAGCAGGCCUGGCUCCUCAACGGAACCAUUGGAUCUGAACUCCAGCAUGAAGGGACGUAGGAACCGGCCUACGCACAUAGCCUUUGGCAGCAAAGUGCCUGUGCCUGCCAUAGGGGCCGGCAAGAAACCAGCGUCGGCUGGCAGUCAGAGAGAGGGCAGUGAGAGUGCCAGCAGUAGAAGCAGUCGGUCCUCCCAUUCCAGAGCACUGAAACAAGAAGGAGAUCCACUAGUGAGCGACAGGAGCGUAUCCGCUAAGAAGGAAGUGGAUAGGUUAACUGUGCACUCGGGCAGCCGUCAGCGACAAGCCUCCGACCCAGGCACUGAGGUAGCUGAUUUAGAAUCAAGGGUGGACAAAGGGACACUCAAAGGCAGCAACACUUGGUCCGCCGGCUUGGAGGCCAGCAAAGAAGACAACUUUGUCCAGCCCCAUCCGCCCCGCCAGAAAUCCGGCGACAAGUCGCGCCGCGUGGUCAAGGUGCGACCAAACAGCGGCAAGCGGGAGCGAGGGGACAGCAUGUCGGCCGGCAGCGACACCAGCACGUCGGGUCGCAGCGGCCACUACGACAGAAGCCGUUACGCGGAUAAUGGUGGCAGCGGCGCGCAGAGGAGAGACUCCGAAGAGUCCAGCGACGCGGACCGACCGAGCCGGGUGUCAGAUGCGGCUAUCUUGAAGUACGCGUCUUCUCGGAUUAAGGCAGGCGCUGAUGUAAAUGUAAACGGGGACGAGAGCAAAGGCUCAGAGAAGCCCAUGAAUAAAAACGGCAACCACCAAGGGGUGCGACCAACCGUGGACAGCCUCUCAGAAAGCGACGAGCUGGCCGGCAGGAGUAACCAGAAAGGGCGGACCCAGCGUCGCAAAAAGAAGGCGGAUCGUCCCCCGCCGCUGAGCCGCAUGGACAGCCUGUCGGAGAGCGAGGAAGGCCAGAGGCAGCGUGGGAAGGGGCGGAGUCACGGCGACAGAGGGGAAGGAGGAGGGGGCGUGGCUAGGAGUGGGAGGCCAGAAAAGAGGGAGGGUGGAGGAUCAUCUCGGAUGGAACAGUUGUCAGAUAUUUCAACCACCACGGAUUCUGGAGUCACAGACUUGCAUUCAGCGGCAACGUCAAGAGGUGCAGAGGAGUCCAGGGACCAGACCAGACCCAAACCGCCUAAUACAUCAAGACACGGCAACAAGCAGUCAAGGGCAGAGGGGAAUAAGUCCUCCAACGAUCCCCUGGCCAAAGGCAAUGGGAAGAUCUAUACCUUCACCUCCCCACCCAGAUCAGCCCCGCUCAGACCCAUCGAGAGAAGCAGACAUCUGGAGCCCAAGAAACUACAGUUACAAAAGAUCUCGGAGGGCCCACCCCGGAUUUCACCUACGCCCCCACCAGCGGACGAUGACCGCCCCUCCCCCCGCAACUCAUCACCAUCGGACCGUCUCAACGGAGAAGGCGGCAGGACUCGGUAUAAUGCCAUCUUCAGGAGAACGCCCAGCCCCAGACAGAUACGCUCGCUUCAGCUGAGCUCAUCAGGAGAAUUCUCAGAUCACAAGCGUAAUGACGUGGACUCCCCAAAGCCCACGGCAAGCAUGUCCCCGCAACAGACCAGGAAGUCACUACUCACGGCCAGCGCCCUGCAGUCUCACUCGCGGGCAUCGGCCGCCUCGCCGGCCCGGGGUUCCUUGUCCAGACUCAGCAUCCACUCCAAGAAACUCCGAGAGAUUCCCAAGGAUGAUCCAAGAUUGUCUGAUGACUAUGACUGGAUGAAGUACCAAUCCAACAACUCCUCCUUAGCCUCCUCCCUGGAGGCCAACAUGCUGGCUAGUCUCCGUCGUCAGCAGCUGGAGGAGAUGUACGAGGAAGACCCUAACGAUGAGCGGCAGCAAGCCAAUAACAGCUUCGACAUCCAUAACUAUGGCGACGAUGACCUGAGCAGCUCCAGCGACGACACGGCUACCACUUACAGCACCUUCAAGCCGCCGGAUGCCCUACAGAAGGCUCACCGCUACCAAGAUGAGAUGCAUUUCCCAUCCAAUACGAACCCACUCACGCAGUCCAACCCAAGGGACUGGUCCAAUCUGUUCAGCCCGCCCAUCGUACUGCCCAGUGAGAAGAUCAAAGCAGAUCAUGAGGCAGCGAUACUAUCGCCAGGCAAAGACAUGCCCACAGCUUUCCGAACAGACAAGGCCAGGACCAAGUCCACCAGUAGUGAUGACCCGGGCAGGGCGUUCACAGAGAGCGAAGAGGAUGAAGAGCUGGACUUGCUGUAUGAUCCCUGCUUGAACUGCUACUACGAUCCGAGGACGGGCAAAUAUUACGAGCUCAAAUGAGCAGUGUUGUAGUAGUUUUACUGGUACUCGAGUACAUUUCUGGUACUUAUAUUACAUUCAUGAGAAUGUACUCGUACUCGUAGUCACACACACAAAAAUAGCUGUACUGUUACUCAAACUUGUACUCAUGGCAAAGUUCUCGUACCAUACUCUUGAAAAUAUUUUCCUGUAGGAAUUUUAACAUUUUUCAGAGAAGUAGUUAGGAAUUUUAGGAGUAAGAAAAAAACUUGCUCAAAGCGAAGGUCGGGCUACGCCCAAUACCCUGAGAAAUGGUGAUGUUGGGGGG